GUUCGCAUCUCACCUCAACCAU
rnacentral:misc_RNA from 1 species